rnacentral:rRNA from 1 species
CAGCGUGCGUUUAUGCUGCUCCGAAUGGAACGCCAUAGAUGUUUUGUUGACAAGUUAACCAACCCCGGCACGGAAUGUGCCAAGGAAAAAGAAAACAAAAGAAGGUUGUACCCGGUUUUUGCCCCGUUCGCGGUGUGCAUGCUGGUUGUGACCUCUUUCAAACAAAAACGACUCUCGGCAACGGAUAUCUCGGCUCACGCAUCGAUGAAGAACGUAGCAAAAUGCGAUACUUGGUGUGAAUUGCAGAAUCCCGUGAACCAUCGAGUUUUUGAACGCAAGUUGCGCCCAAAGCCAUCCGGUUGAGGGCACGCCUGCCUGGGCGUCACGCAUCGCGUCGCUCCCCCAUGUAUAUCAGAUUUGGGAUGCAUGGUGUCGGGGCGGAGAUUGGUCUCCCGUGCAAAAGUUGCGGUUGGCCCAAACAUGAGUCACCUUCGGUUGACGCACAGCUAGUGGUGGUUGAAUAGGCCCUCGUCUUUUGCCGUGCGUC